CCUACGGGUGGCAGCAGUGAGGAAUAUUGGUCAAUGGACGAGAGUCUGAACCAGCCAAGUAGCGUGAAGGAUGACUGCCCUAUGGGUUGUAAACUUCUUUUAUAUGGGAAUAAAAUGUUCCACGUGUGGGAUUUUGUAUGUACCAUAUGAAUAAGGAUCGGCUAACUCCGUGCCAGCAGCCGCGGUAAUACGGAGGAUCCGAGCGUUAUCCGGGUUUAUUGGGUUUAAAGGGAGCGUAGGUGGAUUGUUAAGUCAGUUGUGAAAGUUUGCGGCUCAACCGUAAAAUGGCAGUUGAAACUGGCAGUCUUGAGUACAGUAGAGGUGGGCGGAAUUCGUGGUGUAGCGGUGAAAUGCUUAGAUAUCACGAAGAACUCCGAUUGCGAAGGCAGUUCACUGGACUGCAACUGACACUGAGGCUCGAAAGUGUGGGUAUCAAACAGGAUUAGAUACCCGGGUAGUC
rnacentral:rRNA from 1 species